rnacentral:rRNA from 1 species
AACGAACGCUGGCGGCAUGCCUAACACAUGCAAGUCGAACGAGACCUUCGGGUCUAGUGGCGCACGGGGGCGUAACGCGUGGGAACCUGCCCUUAGGCUCGGAAUAACUCCCCGAAAGGGGUGCUAAUACCGGAUAAUGUCCUCGGACCAAAGAUUUAUCGACCUUGGAUGGGCCCGCGUUGGAUUAGCUAGUUGGUAGGGUAAAAGCCUACCAAGGCGACGAUCCAUAGCUGGUCUGAGAGGAUGAUCAGCCACACUGGGACUGAGACACGGCCCAGACUCCUACGGGAGGCAGCAGUGGGGAAUAUUGGACUAUGGGCGAAAGCCUGAUCCAGCUAUGCCGCGUGAGUGAUGAAGGCCUUAGGGUUGUAAAGCUCUUUUACCCGGGAUGAUAAUGACAGUACCGGGAGAAUAAGCUCCGGCUAACUCCGUG